rnacentral:rRNA from 1 species
AGGACGAACGCUGGCGGCGUGCUUAACACAUGCAAGUCGAGCGGAAAGGCCCUUCGGGGUACUCGAGCGGCGAACGGGUGAGUAACACGUGAGUAAUCUGCCCCUAGCUCUGGGAUAGCUCCGGGAAAACCGGGAUUAAUACCAGAUACGACCACUUUAGACAUCUGUUGUGGUGGAAAGAAUUUUGGCUAGGGAUGAGCUCGCGGCCUAUCAGCUUGUUGGUGAGGUAACGGCUCACCAAGGCGACGACGGGUAGCCGGCCUGAGAGGGCGACCGGCCACACUGGGACUGAGACACGGCCCAGACUCCUACGGGAGGCAGCAGUGGGGAAUAUUGCGCAAUGGGCGAAAGCCUGACGCAGCGACGCCGCGUGGGGGAUGAAGGCCUUCGGGUUGUAAACCCCUUUCAGCAGGGACGAAGCGAAAGUGACGGUACCUGCAGAAGAAGCGCCGGCUAACUACGCGCCAGCAGCCGC